CUCUCGGUAGCCAAGUUGGUUUAAGGCGCAAGACUGUAAUAUUAAAAGUUAUCUUGAGAUCGGGUGUUCGACUCACCCCCGGGAGA